GAAGCCCGCCCCCACGUUUCCGGGAGCCCGGCGGACGCUGGGUCUGCAGAUGCCAUCCAGGCGCACGGCGGGUAUAGUGGUUCCGCAACCUUGGGAUGUUCGGCUGAGCGCCUGCCUAACAUGGGAGCGCCUGCCUAACCCUCCUGACUGGAGGGUCAGCGGCGGGGAGUCCUGGCCUUCAAUCGGCCAUCGCCACGGCAGAAACUGGGGCCCGGGCUGCGUCCAGGCCCUUCCCCGUCCGUCCACAGGUCUCAUGGGCGCCCGGACUGGGGCUGAUGUAGUUUCCCGACCUCUGACACAUAGGAUCUGGAGAUUAAAGCUGCUCUGCUAAUAAUUAGGUUCCCACCUCUCAAGAUCAUUAGGAGCUUCUUUUCCAAUUCCUCUGUUUUGCAUGCAUUGGAAGGAUCUGGAGCUCAGGACCCACUACCUCCCCGGCCCACUGCAAGCUUGAACAUUUGAUGGUGGACACCCCUCCCUGACUUUGUAUUAUGAUUCACAGGCUGCUCCCCAGAAUACUGAAGAAGAAACUCUAGGAGUGAGACCCAACAAUCUGUGUUUAACAAGUCCCCAGGCCCCUGGAUCCUCCUGGAAUCCCUGAUCCCUGUUGCUCCCUGGCGGAGUUUUCUAGUCCCUCUUACUUGAAGCAUGUCUUUCAGAGCCCGGCACCACCCAAGUUGGGUAUCUGAUACCCCAUCAGCCUGAGUCUCUUAAAGGCCUUUAUACACAUAUGUCUACACAUAGGGAUUUGGAUGAUCUCGGGAUCCCACAUCCUCGCUGUCCCCUGUCCCCCCACAACAUCCCACACCAAUACCUUUCUGAAGUUUUCUAGUCCCUCCUUUUUGUUUGUGGUCCUUAAAGCCCAGCCCCAUGCCUGACUUUGGUUCCCAGUGAGCAUUGUACAUUUGUGGAUAUUAAAUCUUUGGCAAAGUCAUUUACCUGGGCUGGAAUAGGGCUCUUGGCUGAUUCUUUUUCCUAAACACCCACCCAAUGGGAGAGGCUGAUACUCAACAUGCAAACCUUGUGUUUUAUUUCUCCAGGCGAAGGGAUGUUGGAAGACAUUCUGGAAGGGGUGGGGUGUGAAGAUUUACAAAUAAUCUUUGAAUAUCUGCUUCAUGAUAGGUCUUGGAGGUGCCUUGUGGGUGUGGCUUUGGGGGGAUGGUUACGAGGAAAUUGUGGAUAUUAAGGAAGUCAGGAAAGGAAAAGAUCAGUCACAAUUCAACAAUUCAGAGAAAGCUCCUAAGGGACUUUCUGGCUGCUUGAUGCCCAGAGGCCAGGCCCUCACUUCGUAUUAAGGCUCAGGACUGUGGAUAGAGAAUUUAAAGGGGCACCAAAAAAACAUUAAAAUAGAUAAACAUAUUUUUAAUGGAAUACCUUUAAAAAUGCAAAUCAAUGCACAAAGAAAACGCCCA
rnacentral:lncRNA from 1 species